rnacentral:rRNA from 1 species
GAGUUUGAUCCUGGCUCAGGAUGAACGCUGGCGGCGUGUCUAAGGCACGCAAGUCGUACGAGAGCCGCGUAUCUCACUCGGGUAGAUUAGUUAGUCUUUGCUUCGGCUGAGGCUUCUAGUCUCCCGAAUGAGGUAUGUGGUGAAAGUGGCAAACGGGAGAGUAACACCUUAGUAACUUACCUUAAAGAUGGGGACAACUUGCCGAAAGGCGGGCUAAUACCCAAUGUGCUAUUGUUUUUCAAGAAAUAAUAGUAAAGCUUCGGCGCUUUAAGAGAGGCUUAGGUCCUAUCAGCUAGUUGGUGAGAUAAUAGCCCACCAAGGCUUCGACAGGUAGCGGGUGUGAGAGCAUGACCCGCCCCACUGGGACUGAGACACGGCCCAGACUCCUACGGGAGGCUGCAGUCAAGAAUCUUCCUCAAUGCGCGAAAGCGUGAAGGAGCGACGCCGCGUGAAAGAUGAAGCCCUUCGGGGUGUAAAUUUCUUUUUUCAGGGACGAACAAAUGACGGUACCUGAAGAAUAAGGGGCUGCUAACUUCGUGCCAGCAGCCGCGGUAC